rnacentral:rRNA from 1 species
GUCCACGCCUAACGAUGUCAACUGGUUGUUGGAGGGUUUCUUCUCAGUAACGUAGCUAACGCGUGAAGUUGACCGCCUGGGAGUACGGCCGCAAGGUUGAAACUCAAGGAAUUGACGGGACCCGCACAAGCGGUGGAUGAUGUGGUUUAAUUCGAUGCAACGCGAAACCUUACCUACCCUUGACAUGUCUGGAAUCCUGAAGAGAUUUGGGAGUGCUCGAAAGAGAGCCAGAACACAGGUGCUGCAUGGCCGUCGU